GACGAACGCUGGCGGCGUGCUUAACACAUGCAAGUCGAACGGAAAGGCCCUGCUUUUGUUGGGUGCUCGAGUGGCGAACGGGUGAGUAACACGUGAGUAACCUGCCCUUGACUUUGGGAUAACUUCAGGAAACUGGGGCUAAUACCGGAUAGGAGCUCCUGCUGCAUGGGGGGGGUUGGAAAGUUUCGGCGGUUGGGGAUGGACUCGCGGGUUAUCAGCUUGUUUGUGAGGUAGGGGCUUACCAAGGCUUUGACGGGUAGCCGGCCUGAGAGGGUGACCGGCCACAUUGGGACUGCGAUACGGACCAGUCUCCUACGGGAGGCAGCAGUGGGGAAUAUUGCACAAUGGGCGGAAGCCUGAUGCAGCAACGCCGCGUGCGGGAUGACGGCCUUCGGGUUGUAAACCGAUUUCGCCUGUGACGAAGCGUGAGUGACGGUAAUGGGUAAAGAAGCACCGGCUAACUACGUG
rnacentral:rRNA from 1 species